AAUUCUGAUGGCUUUAGGCCAGGAUGAAACGAUAGCAACGGUGGCAGGAUAUAUCAGUAAUUGGUUCAUCGGGAUCGUGUUUUCGUUCAUUGUAUCCUUCACUUGCCAGAUGUUCCUGCAAGCACAGAGCAAGAAUAUGAUUAUUGCAUACUUAGCUGCAUUCUCUAUUGGAAUCCACAUCAGUCUUUCAUGGCUUUUGACUGUGAAACUCAAGUACGGCCUCUCCGGGGCUUUACUAUCAACGAUUUUGGCCUAUUGGAUACCAAAUAUAGGUCAGCUUUUGUUUAUUACAUGUGGAGGUUGUAAAGAUACGUGGAAGGGUUUCUCAAUGUUAGCUUUCAAAGAUCUAAUGCCUGUUGUUAAGCUAUCUUUGUCAUCUGGUGCUAUGCUUUGGUAAAGUUUCUGUUAACUUAAAACAACUCUUCUUUAUGGAAUAAUAUGAACUGAAGUGUUACAGAAGAUAUUGAUGUUGGGAAUUUUGUUGUCCUUGUCAGUCUUGAGCUUUGGUACAACACAAUCUUGGUUCUUCUAACUGGAAACUUGAAAAAUGCUCAGGUUGCAAUUGAUGCUCUUGCCAUUUGGUAAGUAAUUCGUACGUUUUUAUCCAGUUUCAAUGGUUUCACUUCUGGUUUUUUAUUUUAUUUUAUUUUAUUUCGAUACUAAUACAUAUAUGUUUUUUUUUUUCAGUCUCAACAUUAAUGGAUGGGAAAUGAUGAUAUCGCUAGGUUUCUUGGCUGCAGCAAGGUAUUAUUAUCAGCAUAAAGCUUGAGCCAGACCAUGGAUUUUAACAUAUUGCUUGUUUUCCUGCAGUGUUAGGGUGUCGAAUGAGCUUGGAAGAGGAAGCUCCAAAGGUGCCAAGUUUUCAAUUAUGACCACAACGCUUACAUCACUUUGCAUUGGAUGUAUGCUAUUUGUGCUCUUCUUAUUUCUUAGAGGACGUUUAGCAUACAUAUUCACAGAAAGUGAAGAAGUGGCUAACGCAGUUGCGGAUUUGUCUCCAUUGCUGGCUUGCUCCAUACUUCUAAACAGUGUUCAACCUGUCCUCUCUGGUAAAUUUUCAUUUGCUGUUAACAUUUUGUACCUUCAUGUCGAAUUUGAGUAUGUGUUACAUUGAGAUUGAACAUUUAGUUUGCUCAUGUGGGAAUUUUGUGUUAAAAAGGAGUUGCUGUUGGUGCUGGAUGGCAAAGCAUUGUAGCAUGGGUUAACAUAGCUUCCUACUAUUUAGUUGGCAUUCCAAUUGGUGUUGUUCUCGGAUACGUAUUCAAAAUGGAAGUGAAGGUGAUCUUUUCGAUCCAAAUCAAGUUUUGCUUGUUCCUAAUUACAUCACCUUAUCUGAUCCUAAUACUGUAUAUAUUUUACUUCCUGACCAUUUUCAGGGUGUUUGGGUUGGCAUGUUGCUGGGAACACUUCUUCAAACUGUUACACUUAUUAUUAUCACCUGGAAAACUGAUUGGGAUAAGCAGGUAAUCUUCAAAAUUUUAACUUUUAAUAGCAUCCAACAUGCUUUGAUAUUUAUGUAAACAUUAUGUGCAGGUUCUCUUGGCAAGUUCACGAGUUAAUAAGUGGUUUGUACCAGAAUCCCGGGAAACAAACAGCAACCAAGAAAAUGGUGCUUGAAGGGGUCAAUCUUGUUUUUCUUCCUAAUGGACUUAUAUUUUUUGUUGCUAUAUAUCAUUUCUUGAAACCAUUGACACAUCUGCGUCAGGAUUUUGAUUUCCCAUGACUUAUAAGAAAAGUUUUGGUGCCAUUUUGUCUUGUUUUGUUGGGUUGGCUCAUUUAGUUAACUAUUAAAAGGUAAAUGCAUUUAUCAAAAUUAGCUUAAAACAAAACAAAAUUAUUUAUACUGGACUGAAUAUUUUAUAUUUUAUAGAUUUCUGACAUAUUUAUAGCUUGAUAUUAUGCAUUAAGAUUUUUGCUUCUUUGUACAUUCAUGUUAUGUAUAUAUAUUUUUACAUACUUAUACAUUCAUGUGUUAUAUAUUAUCAAAUUUUUCAUAUCUUUAGGUUGCAUUAGUUUUAUUUUUAUCAUUCAACUUUUAUUAUUUUUCUAUUUUUGUCAUCAAAUGUUAACAACUUAAAAUUUGAUAAAUUUGUCGACAUGGUCUUCUUUUUUAUGUCUAAUAAUAAGUUUAGCUUUCAAUAUUUAAAAUUAAUUUUUUAAUUCAAAUUUUAAAACAUUAUUUAGCCCUCGAUAUUUAUAAAAUGAUUAUUUUUAAUUUUUAAAAAAAUUCUUGAAUUAAAAAUCCCGCAAAAAAAAUUAUAAAAUUAUUGCUACAUCAUAACCACAACCAUCUAGAAGUCAUAAUAGUACAAGUAUUAAUGAAAAAGUUGAAUAAAAUCCAAAAUAAUCAAUCUGGCAUUUAAAAACACAUUUAGCAAUAAUAGUACAAGAAUUAACAAGAAAGUUAAAAGAGUAAAAUUCCAAGUAAUUAAAUCUUAUCGUUCUACCUUUUUCUAUCUUUUUUCUCUCUCUCUCUUUUUUUUUUUUUGGCAUUGGGUGUAAAUUAUUAUUUACCAUUAAAACAUUGUCAAUUUCAAUACUUAUCUCAUUGUUUACUGAAAAUUCUAGAAAUAUAGUAUUGUGUUUUUGGAAAACUGUGAAUCUUGUUAAGUUGUUUUGCUAAUCUGGGUUCACACUAAAUUCCAUUAUUGUACUCUACUCGUUUUUUUCCAAUUUCCUGUACUUGAAAAAUAGUUUCAAAAAAAUUCCUUUCUUUUUUCUUUUUUCCAAUUUCUUGUGCUUGAAAAAUAGUUUCAAAAAAGUUCCUUUUCUGGUGCUUGAAAAUGGGGCAUUAAUGAUCUUUCAGUACUGCUCCUAAUUGUGUAUAAAGUUGUUAAAAUUUGAGCUUUUUUAUAAAAAUAACUUAAAUAAUUUAAUUAAUUAUUAAAAUGACUUAUUUUUUUAAUUAAGUACAAGAAUAAUUUGAAAUCUACUGUAAAAGUUGGUGGAGCCAAAUGAUUUGGCGCCACCAACAUGCCACGUCAGUAGGGAGCAUAAAAAAAUUAAUUUUUUUGUGAAGUCAUGUAGAAUGGCACCACCUGUAUAAAUAUUAGGAAAAUACUGAGAUUUCUGAAAAUAUGGGGAGACUUAAAAAAAAAUUAACCAUUUUCUGGUGGAGCCAAUUAAUAUAGCGCUACCAGAUUCCCUACCUGCCAUGUCUGUUUCCUUUUCUUUUUUUUUACUUUUUUUUUAUGUUUUGUUUUUUAUGUUUAUUUAUUUAUUUAUUUAUAAAAUUAAAUCAUAAUUUAAAAUAUUAUAAAAUAAAUUAAAUAAUAUUUAAAAUAUUAUAAAAUUAAUAACAAAUUUGAAAGUUUAAAAUAUUUAAAUAUUUUAUAUUAUUAAAAAUAUAUUUAAUAUUAAAAAAUAAUAUUUAAAAUUUUAAAAAAUAAUUUCAAAAUAUAUAUUUAAAAUAUUAAAAAAUAUAUAUAAAAUAUUCUAAAUUGUUUAAAUUUAAUAAUAAUAAACAAAUAAAAUAAAUAAAUAAAUAAACAUAAAAAACAAAACAUAAAAAAUAAAGUCAAAAAAGUAAAAAAAGUAAAUAAAAAAAAAGGAAACUGACAUGACAAGUAGGGAAUCUGGCGCCAUAUUAAUUGGCUCCACCAGAAAAUGGUUAAUUUUUUUUAAGUCCCCCAUAUUUUUAGAAAUUUCAAUAUUUUCCUGGUAUUUAUACAGGUGGCGUCAUUCUACAUGGCUCCACCAAAAAAUUAAUUUUUUUAUGCUCCCUGCUGAUGUGGCAUGUUGGUGGCGCCAAAUCAUUUGGCUCUACCAACUUUUACUGUAGAUUUCAGGUCAUUCUUGUACUUAAUUAAAAUUGUGGGUCAUUUUGAUAAUUAAUUAAAUUAUUUAGGUUAUUUUUAUAAAAAAAGCCUUCAAAUUUGUGUGUUUGGCCGAAAAGAUGCGGAAUCAAUAGCAUCUAUUAUUACUUACUUUUUGGUCUCACCUUGUUUUGGGGUUAACCCAAAGUUGAAGUCUCGUUUUGAAACUAUUAUUUAAAUUCGAGUGUUGGUUUUUUAAAAGUUUACAAAGUUAUUAAAAAUUUUAAAAAAAAAUUGUAAAAUUGUAAAUGUUGAGAACUACAUUUAUUGAAGUUUUAGAAAAAUUCUAUUAUACUUACUUUCUAGGUCUUACCUUGUUUUGGGUUAACCCAACGUUGAAGCCUUAUGUUAAAGCUAAGAGAUUAGAUAAUUAUUUUUUAAAAAAAAUUAUUCAAGUUUGGGGGUUGGUUUUUUUAAAACAAAAUUACGAAGUUUUUAAAAAUAAAAAUUUGUCAUUUUGUAAAUGUUAAGAGCUAAAUUUAUUGAAUUUUUAGAAUUUGAACUAAAAUGACAAAUUUUGAGGGCUAACUUUGUUGAACUUUAUAUAUUUAGAAUUAAAUUGAUAGAAUAUGUAAAUAUUAGAAGGCUAGAUUUAUUAUUAAACCAAUAAAAAAUUCCACAUUAACAUUUCAAUCAAAUUUUAAACUGCUGUUGUUUAUAUAUAUAUCAAUCCUAGUUUAGCUGUUGUUUAAUAGAGAUUGAUAUAUAUAUAUGUAUAUAAUCAUUAGGUUAGCAAGUCUUGAAAUCUAUAUUUAAUUAAGACUUGUAUAGGUUAUUAUACUUAGAAUUGAGAGUACUUGAUCUGCUCAAGUGAGGAACAUUAUUUAUGAUAGUGUAUUUGAUUGUAAAACUCCUACUGUGGUUAUACAAGCUAUGUUCACUAGGGUGAAUUUAGUGGUGAAAGUACCAGUGUUCUAGGAGACAAAAGUGAGGAAAUUGUCACUAAUGUGUGAUAAAUUUAGAUUCACUUGUUGUAAGUGUUGAAGAUAGUGGCUAGUUCUCACUGAGCUAAGCUUUACAGAUAUAGGGAAACCAAACUGCAUAAAUAAUAUUUGUGUAUCCGAUUUUUGUUCAUUGUUUCACCGUGCUUGAAAAUGUGCCAACCUUCCUAAUCGCUUCUCCCAGCACUUAGCUUACUUAUUAGCAAUUGUCUUAAGAUUAAUAAUAGGUAUAGAUGUAUACAAAUGUAUAGAUAAAGUGCCAAUGAGACCUUGGCACUGUUGGCAAAGGUUGAGACUUUGGACCUUGUAGGCUUGAGUUUAAAUCUCACCAUCCACAAUUGUGAUGUGUGGGUCUCUCCCACUAUGUAUGUAUGUCUUGUGUGAGUUUUAUCUAAUUUUUUCUAAAUUAGUCUAGCUUUUGUCUAGUUCUUUGUCCACUAUGUAUUAUAGUGAUUGAAUUCUACACUAUAGCUGGUCCAACAUAUAUUUGUAUAUACAUUAUACUUGUAAUUAUACUCUAAUUGUACUUGUGAAACUUAAAAAAGAAAAGAAAAGUGUAUAGAGAUUUCAUAUGCAAAUACAUUUCAAUGAAAAAAAAAACCAAAAUAGUAUAACGUUGAUAUGUUUAUGUUAUCUAUAAUACUCUAUAUGCUCGUUUUCAGAAUGAAAAACUGAGUUUGUUUUGUUUUAUCUACGGUAGAUUAGGCCAUUGAGAAAGUUUUUGUCCGUUUCGUAUCUGCAUUGACCCAGCUAAAAUUGUAUUUGGGUGGGAUAUCUCGUUACGAACGGUUGUGAGACGGCGGAAUUCUACGACGAGUAGGUGGUUAUGGGAUGCGGAUGGUUCUGUGUGCGGUAAGGAGGUUAUGGUAAGAAAUCCCAAAGAUCAUAAUUCGGGAGAUGCUCUUGAUCCUGGGCGUAAUUUAAGGGGAAUUUUGAAUUUUUCUUCGUUAAACUUCCAGUCAAUUGCUAAGGAAUCUGGUCAUAAUCUUUCCUUUAAUGAGGAUGUUAAUCUCCGCAAUAUGAGUAUCAUGGUGCAAGAUGAUGCCUUUAAUUCUAGUGGGCCCAUGGAAUUGACUUUAGCUGAGGAAAAUGAUCCUCUUACCACUAUGGAGGGAAAGAAAAGACAAAGGCUAGUGGGGGCCGCGGCAAUUGUGACUAACAUUUAUGAAGAAGAUUCUAAUGUUUUAUUGGCUGGCUCUGCAGGGCAGAGCAGCCGGUCGCAAUGAAGGUCCUAAGUUGGAAUGUUCGUGGUUUGGGGAGACCUCGAACGGUUAGUAGGCUCAAAAACAAAAUUUGAGCCAUUAAUCCCCGAAUUUUGUUUCUUAUGGAGACAAAAUUAAAUUCAAAGCGAAUGGAAAAAGUACAUUUGAAGUGUGGUUUUGUAAAUGGCAUUUAUAUUGAUGUGAUUGGUUCUAAAUGGGGUUUAUCUCUUGGUUGGAAAGGUAAUGAGCUUGUUAGGCUUAAAAGUUAUUCUUCUUUUCAUAUUGUUGUUAAGGUGCAGGUGCGGAGUGUGGAGAGGUUUGGCGUUUUAUCAGGUUUUAUAGAAAUCCUGAGGAAAGGAACCGAGGUCAGUCUUGGGAAUUACUCCGAAGGUUGGGCAAUAACUAUAAGCUUCCUUGGUUUGUAGGAGACUUCAAUGAAAUCAUGCACUCUUAUGAAAAAAAGGGGGCAGGCUUAGAUCAGAUCGUCAAAUGUCUGAGUUUUGAGAUGUGUUAAUGUGGGGUUUGUUGGAAGGUCGUUCACGUGGAAGCGUGGGUGAUUUUUAUCGACGAACAUUAGAGAACGUCUUGACAGAGGAGUCGCAUCACUUGAAUGGAUGUCUCUUUUUCCUUAUUACCAGUUGGAGCAUUUAAGUCAUUCGUUCUCGGAUUAUUGUCCGAUUCUAUUGGAUACUUAUGGUUGUGAUCAUGAAGGUCAACGAUCUAUGCCCAGAAUUUUUCGUUUUGAGGCUAGGUGGUGCUUAGAAUAGAACUUUGAAGAGGUGGUACUUUCGAAUUGGAAUAGCUUUGAUGGAAGUAUCCCAGAUAAACUCCAGUUCAUGGGACAACAGUUACAACAUUGGAGCAAGUUAAAAAAUAGAGAGCAAGGUUGCUCGCUGUCGGAUAUAGAGAAAUGUCUCCAAGAGCUUUAUGGCAUGGACCCUUCUGAUGAGGUUUUAAAAAAAAUUAUGGAAGUUCAACUUGAUCUUAAUUUUGAGAUUGACAAGGAAGAGAUUUUUUGGGAACAACAAGCCUGGGCAAAUUGGUUGAAACAUGGUGAUCGAAAUACCAGUUUCUUUCACAAAGCCACUGUUCAGAGGUUUUAUCGUAAUCGAAUUUUGGGGUUGGAAUGUGAGGAUGGAAGUCGAAUAUUAAUGAAUGAGGAAAUGCUUCAGCAUGCUUCGAGGUAUUUUGAAUUGAGCAUUUAUUUACAGCCUCAAGUCCUAGGGAUAAUGUUCGUUUGUUGGAUUUGGUUGAUAAGAGAAUAUCAAGUGAAAUGAAUGAAGAGUUACUAAGGCCGUUUACGGAGGAUAAUAUCAUGUAUGCUAUUAGGUCUAUGCCGCCUUUAAAGGCGCCAGGUGUUGAUGCGUUUUCAUCAAUCUUUUUCCAAAAUUACUGGCACAUUGUUGGUCCUGAAGUAUUUCGGUACUGUUUUUCAAUCUUAAAAGGGGAGAUAGGGAUGGAGGAUAUUAAUAAAUCCCACAUUGUGUUAAUUCCAAAAGUGGAGAAACCUAAAAACCUUGCUCAAUUUAGACCCAUUAGUCUCUGUAACGUCAUUUAUAAAAUUAUUGCAAAAGUUCUAGUUGAUUGUAUGAGUCUUUUCUUAGAGGUGUGUGUUAGUGAAUCCCAAGGGGCUUUUAUUCAAGGGAGACAUAUUUCAGAUAAUGUGCUUAUUGCAUAUGAGAUUUUACAUUCUCUCAAAAUGAAGAAAAAAGGCCGAAAAGGAAAUUUUGAGCUUAAACUCGAUAUGAGUAAAGCAUAUGACCGAGUCGAGUGGGAUUUUUUGGCAGGUAUGAUGAGCCGAUUGGGUUUUCAUCCUGACUGGGUUGUUCUCAUUAUGAGGUGUGUUUGCACAGUUUCUUAUUCGGUUGGGAUAAAUGGGGAACAUGACAAAUGGUUUUCCCUUUCGAGAGGUUUGAGGCAAGGGGAUCCUCUAAGUCCUUAUUUGUUUCUAUUCUGUGCAGAGGGGUUCUCUAUACUUCUUCAAAAUGCUAUGCAGGAAAAAUGGUUGAAGGGAGCUUCUAUAGGAAGGGAAAGGUUGUUGAUUAACCAUCUGUUUUUUGCUGAUGACUGUAUUCUAUUUGGAGAGGCUUCGAUAGAGGGAGCUAAUACAAUGCAAUAGCUUAUUACGGAGUAUGAACUGGCUUCAGGACAAAGGGUAAAUUUUGAUAAAUCUCUUAUAUAUUUUGGAGCUAAUGUGGAACCAGGGACUAGAGAGUUGGUGACUGGAAUUUUGGGGGUCCGAGUGGCUACAAAUUCGGAGAAUUAUCUUGGGUUGCCCAUGAUGAUUGGUAGGAAGAAGAAGUGGGCUUUUGCUCAUUUUGUGGACCGCUUCAGGAAAAGAAUCGAGGGAUGGAGUUUGCGCUAUCUAUCUACGGGAGGUAAGGAAGUUUUUAGCAAAUCAGUAUUACAAGCUAUUCUAGUCUAUAUUAUGCAGUGUUUUGCUUUACCUAAACUUCUUUGUCGAAAGUUGGAGGGCAUUUUAAACAAAUUCUGGUGGUCUAACAACAAAUCGGCUAAAGGAAUCCAUUAGAGCAAUUAGAAGGUUUUAUGCAAACCUAAAUGUGUUGGUGGAUUGGGCUUUCGUGAUUUAUUUUUGUUCAAUCGUGCCUUGUUAGCUAAACAAGUUUGGCACAUUUUUUCUAAGCCCGAUUGUCUUUUAUCGAGGGUUUUAAAAGCCCAUUAUUUUCCUUCAAUAGAUAUUUUCUCGGCUAAAGUGGGUACUUACUCCUCUUUUACCUGAAAGAGCAUCUGUAGUGCUCGGGAUUUGAUUAUUGAUGGACUGGUCUGGCAAAUUGGUAAUGGUAACAGUGUGAACAUCUGGAAUGACCCCUGGUUGCCUGGUCAUGAAAAUAAUAGAUUAUUAGUGCAAUCUAUUAAUACCUCAUGGACUACUGUGAACCAGUUGAUCGAUUUCGAGUCUAGUACCUGGAGAAAGGAGGUAAUUCGAAGUCUGUUUAAUGAAGACCAAGCAAGGCGAAUUCUCUCAAUCCUUCUUGGUUGUCAAAGCUCUCAUGAUUUAUUGGUCUGGAAAUUCGAGGGAUCUGGGACUUACUCAGUGAAGAGCGGGUACAGGGUUUUGAUUACAGAGCAACUAAAGACUAAUAGUUCUAUUAGAUGCAUUGAUAGCAAUUACAAAGACUUCUACAAACUUCUUUGGGAGUUACAGGUUCCCAAUAAAAUUAAAAUCCAUGCGUGGAGACUUCUUAAUAAUCAUGUACCAUAUUUGGUUAACCUUUUUCUUAGGCGCCUUUCAGUAGAUGUGGCUUGCCCUAUUUGUAAGGAAACCCCGGAGGAUUCUGAUCAUCUCCUUUGGAAGUGAGGAGUGUUGCAGCAGUUAUGAGUCUCCCUCAAGGUCAGCUUUGAUUCGAAUGAUCUCACCUCGCAUGGUAAAGAUAAUUUAAUUAAGAAGUUCAUCGAGGGGGAUGAUUGCAUGAGACAAAUUAUUAUUAUUUCCUUAUGGGCCCUUUGGCAUAGAAGAAAUAAACUGAUAUAUGAAGGAAUUCAGUACUCAAAAUAGGAUCUCGUGGGUUUUAUUCAUGGAUAUAGCCAGGAAUUACAAUCUAACCAGACUAGACUGAAGUCUCCUUCUAUUCCUAUGAGGGAACAACUUUGGCGUCCCCCUGACAGUGGGAUGCUUAAAUUAAACUUCUAUGCGUCCUUCAUUAAAGAAUCUGGAUUUUCCUUUGUAGCAGUCCUUGCAACAAAUAAUGAAGGGCAAUUUAUGGGUGCGUGUACUUACCCUUAUGGAGAUGUGCUAGACGCGGUGGUAGCGGAAGCGAGAGUAUGUGAGAGGGCUUUGCUUUUUGCGGUGGAGUUAGGUUGGACGAGGAUUCAGUUAGAGGGUGACUCCCUGACUACUAUUAAGAAACUGAACUCUGAGGAGGAGGAUAGAUUGAUACUUAGACCUAUUAUCAACAAUAUCAGAGUUCUGAGGCAACAGUUUGUAAAUGUUUCGUACUUUUUUGUGCUGAGGAUGCUUAAUUGUGUAGCGCAUACCCUGGCUUUGGAAGGUCGUCGACGACAGAUUGCAAGUUGCUGGUUUCAUGAACCUCCUGAUUCGGUUCGAAAAGUUAUGGAGAAGGAUUGGUAAGCCUGGGUUCAGCAAGGUUAAGGGGUUUCGGGCAUUCUUUGAAGAAGGAGAACGUGCUGCAGUUUCUCCAUGGGUGGGUUUUCAAAGAAGCUUUUGACUGAUUAUUUUUGAGAAUUAUCUGUGUGGUUAAAGGAAGCCAUUUCGACUGAUAUUCUGAUGGCGCUUCGUUUCUGGUGCGAGGUGGGUUUUUAGUGGUUGGUUUUAAUAGUGGCUUACGUGUUUGGAUGUUUCUUUAUUUUUCCAUGGUUUUGGGUUUCCUGCGUGCUUUUGUGCUGUUUAAAGUUUUGUCGUUUCUGUUUUCUUUAUUUUCUGUAGUUGGACUUUUACCUCGGGCCUGUGUUUUAAUAGAAUAUCAGUUUUUUAUUGCAAAAAAAAAGAAGAAGUUUGUAAAAUUUUUAAACUGACG
rnacentral:lncRNA from 1 species